rnacentral:rRNA from 1 species
UGGGGAAUAUUGGACAAUGGGCGAAAGCCUGAUCCAGCCAUGCCGCGUGUGUGAAGAAGGUCUUCGGAUUGUAAAGCACUUUAAGUUGGGAGGAAGGACAGUUACCUAAUACGUGAUUGUUUUGACGUUACCGACAGAAUAAGCACCGGCUAACUCUGUGCCAGCAGCCGCGGUAAUACAGAGGGUGCAAGCGUUAAUCGGAAUUACUGGGCGUAAAGCGCGCGUCGGUGGUUUGUUACGUUGAAUGUGAAAUCCCCGGGCUCAACCUGGGAACUGCAUCCAAAACUGGCAAGCUAGAGUAAGGUAGAGGGUAGUGGAAGUUACUGUGUAGCGGUGAAAUGCGUAGAUAGAGGAAGGAACACCAGUGGCGAAGGCGACCACCUGGACUGAUACUGACACUGAGGUGCGAAAGCGUGGGGAGCAAACA